UCGAGCGGACAGAAGGGAGCUUGCUCCCUGAUGUUAGCGGCGGACGGGUGAGUAACACGUGGGUAACCUGCCUGUAAGACUGGGAUAACUCCGGGAAACCGGAGCUAAUACCGGAUAGUUCCUUGAACCGCAUGGUUCAAGGAUGAAAGACGGUUUCGGCUGUCACUUACAGAUGGACCCGCGGCGCAAUAGCUAGUUGGUGAGGUAACGGCUCACCAAGGCGACGAUGCGUAGCCGACCUGAGAGGGUGAUCGGCCACACUGGGACUGAGACACGGCCCAGACUCCUACGGGAGGCAGCAGUAGGGAAUCUUCCGCAAUGGACGAAAGUCUGACGGAGCAACGCCGCGUGAGUGAUGAAGGUUUUCGGAUCGUAAAGCUCUGUUGUUAGGGAAGAACAAGUGCAAGAGUAACUGCUUGCACCUUGACGGUACCUAACCAGAAAGCCACGGCUAACUACGUGCCAGCAGCCGCGGUAAUACGUAGGUGGCAAGCGUUGUCCGGAAUUAUUGGGCGUAAAGGGCUCGCAGGCGGUUUCUUAAGUCUGAUGUGAAAGCCCCCGGCUCAACCGGGGAGGGUCAUUGGAAACUGGGAAACUUGAGUGCAGAAGAGGAAAGUGGAAUUCCACGUGUAGCGGUGAAAUGCGUAGAGAUGUGGAGGAACACCAGUGGCGAAGGCGACUCUCUGGUCUGUAACUGACGCUGAGGAGCGAAAGCGUGGGGAGCGAACAGGAUUAGAUACCCUGGUAGUCCACGCCGUAAACGAUGAGUGCUAAGUGUUAGGGGGUUUCGCCCUUAGUGCUGCAGCUAACGCAUUAAGCACUCCGCCUGGGGAGUACGUCGCAGACUGAAACUCAAAGGAAUUGACGGGGCCCGCACAAGCGGUGAGCAUGUGGUUUAUUCAAAGCAACGCGAGAACCUUACCAAGUCUUGACAUCCUCUGACAACCCUAGAGAUAGGCUUUCCCUUCGGGACAGAAUGACAGGUGGUGCAUGGUUGUCGUCACCUCUGUCGUGAGAUGUUGGGUUA
rnacentral:rRNA from 1 species